rnacentral:rRNA from 1 species
CCUACGGGUGGCAGCAGUGGGGAAUAUUGGACAAUGGGGGGAACCCUGAUCCAGCCAUGCCGCGUGUGUGAAGAAGGCCCUCGGGUUGUAAAGCACUUUCAGUGAGGAAGAACGCCUGGUGGUUAAUACCCAUCAGGAAAGACAUCACUCACAGAAGAAGCACCGGCUAACUCCGUGCCAGCAGCCGCGGUAAUACGGAGGGUGCGAGCGUUAAUCGGAAUUACUGGGUGUAAAGCGCGCGUAGGUGGCUUGAUAAGCCAGUUGUGAAAGCCCCGGGCUCAACCUGGGAACGGCAUCCGGAACUGUCAAGCUAGAGUGCAGGAGAGGAAGGUAGAAUUCCCGGUGUAGCGGUGAAAUGCGUAGAGAUCGGGAGGAAUACCAGUGGCGAAGGCGGCCUUCUGGACUGACACUGACACUGAGGUGCGAAAGCGUGGGUAGCAAACAGGAUUAGAUACCCGGGUAGUC